rnacentral:rRNA from 1 species
GCGUAAUGAUGGCCAGGCUGUCUCCACCCGAGACUCAGUGAAAUUGAACUCGCUGUGAAGAUGCAGUGUACCCGCGGCAAGACGGAAAGACCCCGUGAACCUUUACUAUAGCUUGACACUGAACAUUGAGCCUUGAUGUGUAGGAUAGGUGGGAGGCUUUGAAGUGUGGACGCCAGUCUGCAUGGAGCCGGCCUUGAAAUACCACCCUUUAAUGUUUGAUGUUCUAACGUGGACCCGUGAUCCGGGUUGCGGACAGUGUCUGGUGGGUAGUUUGACUGGGGCGGUCUCCUCCUAAAGAGUAACGGAGGAGCACGAAGGUUGGCUAAUCCUGGUCGGACAUCAGGAGGUUAGUGCAAUGGCAUAAGCCAGCUUGACUGCGAGCGUGACGGCGCGAGCAGGUGCGAAAGCAGGUCAUAGUGAUCCGGUGGUUCUGAAUGGAAGGGCCAUCGCUCAACGGAUAAAAGGUACUCCGGGGAUAACAGGCUGAUACCGCCCAAGAGUUCAUAUCGACGGCGGUGUUUGGCACCUCGAUGUCGGCUCAUCACAUCCUGGGGCUGAAGUAGGUCCCAAGGGUAUGGCUGUUCGCCAUUUAAAGUGGUACGCGAGCUGGGUUUAGAACGUCGUGAGACAGUUCGGUCCCUAUCUGCCGUGGGCGCUGGAGAACUGAGGGGGGCUGCUCCUAGUACGAGAGGACCGGAGUGGACGCAUCACUGGUGUUCGGGUUGUCAUGCCAAUGGCACUGCCCGGUAGCUAAAUGCGGAAGAGAUAAGUGCUGAAAGCAUCUAAGCACGAAACUUGCCCCGAGAUGAGUUCUCCCUGAGACUUUAGGUCUCCUGAAGGAACGUUGAAGACGACGACGUUGAUAGGCCGGGUGUGUAAGCGCAGCGAUGCGUUGAGCUAACCGGUACUAAUGAACCGUGAGGCUUAACCUU